rnacentral:rRNA from 1 species
GACGAACGCUGGCGGCGUGCUUAACACAUGCAAGUCGAACGGAAAGGCCCUGCUUUUGUGGGGUGCUCGAGUGGCGAACGGGUGAGUAACACGUGAGUAACCUGCCCUUGACUUUGGGAUAACUUCAGGAAACUGGGGCUAAUACCGGAUAGGAGCUCCUGCUGCAUGGUGGGGGUUGGAAAGUUUCGGCGGUUGGGGAUGGACUCGCGGCUUAUCAGCUUGUUGGUGGGGUAGUGGCUUACCAAGGCUUUGACGGGUAGCCGGCCUGAGAGGGUGACCGGCCACAUUGGGACUGAGAUACGGCCCAGACUCCUACGGGAGGCAGCAGUGGGGAAUAUUGCACAAUGGGCGGAAGCCUGAUGCAGCAACGCCGCGUGCGGGAUGACGGCCUUCGGGUUGUAAACCGCUUUCGCCUGUGACGAAGCGUGAGUGACGGUAAUGGGUAAAGAAGCACCGGCUAACUACGUGCCAGCAGCCGCGGUGAUACGUAGGGUGCGAGCGUUGUCCGGAUUUAUUGGGCGUAAAGGGCUCGUAGGUGGUUGAUCGCGUCGGAAGUGUAAUCUUGGGGCUUAACCCUGAGCGUGCUUUCGAUACGGGUUGACUUGAGGAAGGUAGGGGAGAAUGGAAUUCCUGGUGGAGCGGUGGAAUGCGCAGAUAUCAGGAGGAACACCAGUGGCGAAGGCGGUUCUCUGGGCCUUUCCUGACGCUGAGGAGCGAAAGCGUGGGGAGCGAACAGGCUUAGAUACCCUGGUAGUCCACGCUGUAAACGGUGGGUACUAGGUGUGGGGUCCAUUCCACGGGUUCCGUGCCGUAGCUAACGCUUUAAGUACCCCGCCUGGGGAGUACGGCCGCAAGGCUAAAACUCAAAGGAAUUGACGGGGCCCCGCACAAGCGGCGGAGCAUGCGGAUUAAUUCGAUGCAACGCGUAAAACCUUACCUGGGUUUGACAUGGAUCGGGAGUGCUCAGAGAUGGGUGUGCCUCUUUUGGGGUCGGUUCACAGGUGGUGCAUGCCUGUCGUCAGCUCGUGUCGUGAGAUGUUGGGUUAAGUCCCGCAACGAGCGCAACCCUUGUUCACUGUUGCCAGCACGUUAUGGUGGGGACUCAGUGGAGACCGCCGGGGUCAACUCGGAGGAAGGUGGGGAUGACGUCAAGUCAUCAUGCCCCUUAUGUCCAGGGCUUCACGCAUGCUACAAUGGCUGGUACAGAGAGUGGCGAGCCUGUGAGGGUGAGCGAAUCUCGGAAAGCCGGUCUCAGUUCGGAUUGGGGUCUGCAACUCGACCUCAUGAAGUCGGAGUCGCUAGUAAUCGCAGAUCAGCAACGCUGCGGUGAAUACGUUCCCGGG